UAGGGAAUCUUCCGCAAUGGGCGAAAGCCUGACGGAGCAACGCCGCGUGAGUGAUGAAGGUCUUCGGAUCGUAAAACUCUGUUAUUAGGGAAGAACAAAUGUGUAAGUAACUAUGCACGUCUUGACGGUACCUAAUCAGAAAGCCACGGCUAACUACGUGCCAGCAGCCGCGGUAAUACGUAGGUGGCAAGCGUUAUCCGGAAUUAUUGGGCGUAAAGCGCGCGUAGGCGGUUUUUUAAGUCUGAUGUGAAAGCCCACGGCUCAACCGUGGAGGGUCAUUGGAAACUGGAAAACUUGAGUGCAGAAGAGGAAAGUGGAAUUCCAUGUGUAGCGGUGAAAUGCGCAGAGAUAUGGAGGAGCACCAGUGGCGAAGGCGACUUUCUGGUCUGUAACUGACGCUGAUGUGCGAAAGCGGGGGGAUCAAACAGG
rnacentral:rRNA from 1 species